GAAAGAUUCAUCGGAAGAGGAUGGGCAUGCGGCGCAUUAGCUGGACGGCGGGGUAACGGCCCACCGUGGCGACGAUGCGUAGGGGUUCUGAGAGGAAGGUCCCCCACACUGGUACUGAGACACGGACCAGACUCCUACGGGAGGCAGCAGUGAGGAAUAUUGGUCAAUGGGAGAGAUCCUGAACCAGCCAAGCCGCGUGAGGGAAGACGGCCCUAUGGGUUGUAAACCUCUUUUGUCGGAGAACAAAACCCGGGACGAGUCCCGGACUGCGUGUAUCCGAAGAAAAAGCAUCGGCUAACUCCGUGCCAGCAGCCGCGGUAAUACGGAGGAUGCGAGCGUUAUCCGGAUUUAUUGGGUUUAAAGGGUGCGUAGGCGGUCUGUUAAGUCAGCGGUAAAAUUGCGGGGCUCAACCCCGUCGAGCCGUUGAAACUGGCAGACUUGAGUUGGCGAGAAGUACGCGGAAUGCGCGGUGUAGCGGUGAAAUGCAUAGAUAUCGCGCAGAACUCCGAUUGCGAAGGCAGCGUACCGGCGCCAGACUGACGCUGAGGCACGAAAGCGUGGGGAUCGAACAGGACUAGAUACCCUGGUAGUCCACGCAGUAAACGAUGAAUGCUGGUUGUCCGGGUCGAAUGAGACCUGG
rnacentral:rRNA from 1 species